rnacentral:lncRNA from 1 species
GGGAAUAUGUCUACAAUAGAUUGAAUGCAAAGAAAGAAUAUGUCAAUAAAUGACCUUCUUUUUGUAGAGAACUUCUGCUUUGAAUAACAACCAUAGUAUCUACUACCCCUAUAAACUCACCAAUUGGUUCUUUCUAUGUCCACACAACUAACUCCGCCCACUAAGAUAGUCUUUCUUUCAUCCACACCAUUUAUGCACCUAGGAAUCAAACUCUAUUAGAAUCAAUCAUCAACAUUUGCCCUCAAUCCAUCUUCUCUCUCAUCACUCAGAUCCAACGGCCCACAUUGUUUGGUUAGUCCUACACUCGCCCACCCCUUCCGCACCCCCAUUGCAUCCACAACACAGCUCCUCGCUCCCCCGCGAAGCUGAUUCUACAUUUGGUCUCCAGUUUUCAACUCGGAGCUCGACGUCUAUCCCCGUGCGCUGGCUUGCAGCUGGCUACUGCCCCCUUCCUCUAUUUCCACAUGAGCUGGUCCCACGGAGAACCAUAUCCCCUCCUCUCUUUCCUUCACAGGGGAAUCUCUCUCAUUUCCUUUUCC